AGCUUUGUGCAGUGUCAGUAUCAUAGCCAAUGAGGUUUAUCUGAGGCAUGAUUUUUGCUAAUUAAAAAACAAAAGAUUGCUUUGGUUUAAGUCUUGAUUCUCUGGAGAUGGAGAAAUAAACAUAGUUGGAAAGGUACUAACCU